UGGUUAGAGAGUUAGAAUGCAAUGGAACUUACCCGAUACUCAAACUAUACUAUUUCUUUGGUAUCAGUUCAACUAUUCUCAGCGUGCUUACGAUCAUAGGCAACGUGACACUAGUGUGGUACUAUAGACCCAGUUACACUAAACGCUACAACACUCUUAUAUUUGGAAUAGGAGUAGUUGACAUUGUCACUGCAGUGGCCUGUCUUAUUCAGGUGGUAAACAUGUGGACAGUAGGGCGCUGUGAAGGUACCCACCUCCCCUUCGCUUACACCACAGACCAACUGGCUAUAUUCCACAACUCCCAAUAUGACGAGCAGAUAACGAUUUCCACUCUUCUCUACGAGAUCUCCAUCACCACAACCGUGGGGUUCACUGCACUUCUCAUCAUCACGUGGCUGGUGGACACAGCUGUCUCCGCAGCCACACACAGCUGUGUUAGCACCGUCUUUAUUGUGGGCUAUCCUACGCUGUGGACUGUUGUUAAGAUGCAUGGUCUGCAGGCUGAGCAGAGCGAGGCGGCGAAGGUUUUAUGGUUUUUGCUGCCGAUAUGUAUCCCAGUUAUGAUAUCUAGUGGAGUACUGUUCUAUGUGAAGUACAGGGUUAGGGUGUUUCCGAGACGAGAACUUUCCAGAGCGUGUAUAACGAAGGUGGGGCUUAUGGUUAACAUUGUGUACUUUCUGUUGAUUGUCAUGAACUUGAUAGCAAAACAAGAGCCCCAGAUGCUCCAACAGUUUUAUUUAACUUUGUACUACACAACCACAAGAACUCUUCCUCUAGUAUGUGCUGGGAAAACUAUUAUCUUUGUGUGCGAGGAGCGAUCGUUUGCAAAGGAUUUGCAGGCACGGAUUAAAAACAGUUUUUGGAAACCGUGUCUUUGUUCAGAGGGUGUUUAUUUGGAUCAAGGGUAAUUUCCUUUAUGAUUUUAAAUUUUAAUCACGAUAUCUAUUUUUGUAUUGGAUUGUUAAAUUAUUCAUUUGAUUUACAGCAUUUACAAUUUAAAAUUUCAUUUCAUAUGAGCAACAAGCGCCUUCAAAUUUUUUUGAAACUUUGGUUUCUAUCUUUCUGGGUUAUUACAAUUUAAAACGCUAAGGCAACCUUCAAUACGGCUGUUAGUGUUUUACAAAGCUCUGACAUUUUUGAACAUAAUUAAAAAUUGAUAUCAGCUAGAAUAAUCAUAUGCUUAUAUUUUCAGAAUUACCUCGCUUUUCUUUGCAGGAAGUCCAUCGCUUAAAUUCUGCCUUCUUUUUCUAUCCUGUAAAGGAGGGUACAUUAUGAGAGAUUGUAAUA